GCAAGGACCAGGAACAGUCAGUGCUCAGAGGAGCUGCCUGCGAGAAACAUUGAGGAGUGAGUUGCAGCUGAAACAAUUACUAAAGAUUUGGAGCGGGCCUGAUGUUAACAGGCCACACCUGUGGCCAAUAAGAACAGUGGCAUAAAAGAGUGGAUUGGUGGGAUCUGGAGUCAGAUGGCUGCUGCAAGGACCAGGAACAGUCAGUGCUCAGUGGAGCUGCCUACAAGAAACAUCAAAGAGAGCAUGGUGGACACCUACAGGAGUUCCAUGAGGAGUUCAGAAGAGAACUUGGAUUUGUUUUCACUUGUUCUGUUUGCCCACCAAUGCUGCAGAAAUAGCAUACUGCUGACCUGAUUCUAAAACCCCUACUCCUUUCAUUCAUCAUUAGAGAGAGGGAAGAUUAAUUCUUGUAUUUUUCUUUAAUAUUAGUUUUUUCAUAUGCAAAUUUUCAUAUUCAAAUUUAUGCUUUGAU